UGGGGAAUAUUGCACAAUGGGGGAAACCCUGAUGCAGCGACGCCGCGUGAGCGAAGAAGGCUUUCGAAUCGUAAAGCUCUGUCCUAUGAGAAGAUAAUGACGGUAUCAUAGGAGGAAGCCCCGGCUAAAUACGUGCCAGCAGCCGCGGUAAUACGUAUGGGGCGAGCGUUGUCCGGAAUUAUUGGGCGUAAAGGGUACGUAGGCGGUCUAUUAAGUCAGGUGUGAAAGCGUGAGGCUUAACCUCAUUAAGCACUUGAAACUGAUAGACUUGAGUGAAGGAGAGGAAAGUGGAAUUCCUAGUGUAGCGGUGAAAUGCGUAGAUAUUAGGAAGAACACCGGUGGCGAAGGCGACUUUCUGGACGAAAACUGACGCUGAGGCGCGAAAGCGUGGGGAGCAAACAGG
rnacentral:rRNA from 1 species